rnacentral:rRNA from 1 species
AAUGAACGCUGGCGGCAGGCCUAACACAUGCAAGUCGAACGAAGCCUUCGGGCUUAGUGGCGGACGGGUGAGUAACGCGUGGGAACAUACCCAAAGGUGCGGAAUAGUCCUGGGAAACUGGGGGUAAUACCGUAUGUGCCCUUCGGGGGAAAGAUUUAUCGCCUUUGGAUUGGCCCGCGUUGGAUUAGGUAGUUGGUGGGGUAAUGGCCUACCAAGCCGACGAUCCAUAGCUGGUUUGAGAGGAUGAUCAGCCACACUGGGACUGAGACACGGCCCAGACUCCUACGGGAGGCAGCAGUGGGGAAUCUUAGACAAUGGGCGCAAGCCUGAUCUAGCCAUGCCGCGUGAUCGAUGAAGGCCUUCGGGUUGUAAAGAUCUUUCAGAUGGGAAGAUAAUGACGGUACCAUCAGAAGAAGCCCCGGCUAACUCCGUGCCAGCAGCCGCGGUAAUACGGAGGGGGCUAGCGUUAUUCGGAAUUACUGGGCGUAAAGCGCACGUAGGCGGGUCGGCAAGUUAGGGGUGAAAUCCCGGGGCUCAACCCCGGAACUGCCCUUAAAACUGUUGGUCUUGAGUUCGAGAGAGGUGAGUGGAAUUCCGAGUGUAGAGGUGAAAUUCGUAGAUAUUCGGAGGAACACCAGUGGCGAAGGCGGCUCACUGGCUCGAUACUGACGCUGAGGUGCGAAAGCAUGGGGAGCAAACAGG